rnacentral:rRNA from 1 species
UCUGGUUGAUCCUGCCAGUAGUGAUAUGCUUGUUUCAAAGAUUAAGCCAUGCAUGUCUAAGUAUAAGCGAACUUAUACAGUGAAACUGCGGAUGGCUCAUUAAAACAGUUUGAAUUUAUUUGAUGAAUGUAUGAGAAUACUACUUGGAUAACCGUAGUAAUUCUAGAGCUAAUACAUGCAACGACGCCCGACCGUUUCACUACGGAAGGGCUGUAUUUAUUGGAUACCAAAACCAUCCUUCCCUCGGGAAGUUUUGUUUGAUGAUUCACAAUAACUGAUCGGAUCGCCACUGUGGUGGCGACAGGUCAUUCAACAUUCUGCCCUAUCAGCUUUCGAUGGUUGUGUAGUGGACAACCAUGGCCAUAACGGGUAACGGAGAAUCAGGGUUCGAUUCCGGAGAAGGAGCUUGAGAAUUGGCUACUACAUCUAAGGAAGGCAGCUGGCGCGCAAAUUACCCAAUCCCGAUUCGGGGAGGUAGUGACAAAAAAUAACAAUACCGGGCCUUUUUGGGCUUGGUAAUUGGAAUGAGGGAGAGUUAAACGGACCAUCGAGUAUCCAUUGGAGGGCAAGUCUGGUGCCAGCAGCUGCGGUAAUACCAGCUCCAAUAGCGUAUAUUAAAGUUGUUGCAGUUAAAAAGCUCGUAGUUGGACUUGUGUGCGCUGUCCGCGGGUGGCCUGCGCCCAAAAGGGCGUUUCGGUUCGGCCCCGGUGGCGCCUUGAAAUCUGCAGCUGGGGGGACGUUGGCCUUAACUGGUCGGCGACCGCACGCCGGCUGCUCGGUUACUGUGAGAAAAUUAGAGUGUUCAAGGCAGGCAUUGGGUGCAAUUGAAUACAUUAGCAUGGAAUAAUAAAAUAUGGCUCCUGCCGUAUUUUGUUGGUUUUGACUGGUGGGAGUAAUGAUUGAUAGGGACGGUUGGGGGUGCUAGUAUUGAGCGGCCAGAGGUGAAAUUCAUGGAUUCGCUCAAGACUAACUUAUGCGAAAGCAUUCACCAAGGACGUCCUCUUUAAUCAAGAACGAAAGUUGGGGGAUCGGAGACGAUCAGAUACCGUCGUAGUCUCAACCAUAAACUAUGUCGACUUGGGAUCGGCGGUAGUUUUUUCAUUAAGACACUGUCGGGACCACGGGAGAAAUCAAAGUGUCUGGACUCUGGGGGAAGUAUGGUCGCAAGGCUGAAACUUGAAGGAAUUGACGGAAGGGCACCAUCAGGAGUGGAGCCUGCGGCUUAAUUUGACCCAACAC